GAUGAACGCUGGCGGCGUGCCUAAUACAUGCAAGUCGAGCGAACGGACGAGAAGCUUGCUUUUCUGAUGUUAGCGGCAGACGGGUGAGUAACACGUGGAUAACCUACCUAUAAGACUGGGAUAACUUCGGGAAACCGGAGCUAAUACCGGAUAAUAUUUUGAACCGCAUUGUUCAAAAGUGAAAGACGGUCUUGCUGUCACUUAUAGAUGGAUCCGCGCUGCAUUAGCUAGUUGGUAAGGUAACGGCUUACCAAGGCAACGAUGCAUAGCCGACCUGAGAGGGUGAUCGGCCACACUGGAACUGAGACACGCUCCCGACUCCUACGGGAGGCAGCAGUAGGGAAUCUUCCGCAAUGGGCGAAAGCCUGCCGGAGCAACGACGCGUGAGUGAUGAAGGUCUUCGGAUCGUAAAACUCUGUUAUUAGGGAAGAACAUAUGUGUAAGUAACUGUGCACAUCUUGACGGUACCUAAUCAGAAAGCCACGGCUAACUACGUG
rnacentral:rRNA from 1 species